ensembl:lncRNA
CUUCUCAGUUGGAGGAGAAGCUCUCCACACUGAACGUCUGAAUGUCACAUCUCAUGUCUGUCCUCACCUCCGCUCCUCCCCUGGACGCUACAGAGGGUCCUUGUGUGUGUGUUCCUUCCUCCCUUCCUUCCCGCUUAGCCGUGUGUGCAAGCAAGGACGCCCGGGACCGAGUGUGUUCGUAUGCACGAUUCCAUGCGAAUAUGAAUCCAGCUGCGUAUUGACCGUGAUCUGCAGACUGUGUCCUCUGGCAGCUGAAGCAAGAACAGCAUAAAACAGUCCAGGAUUAUGUCCCUCUAUCACCCGGUAAUCCCCCCCCCACACGUCCAUUUCAUUGAGUAACUUUCAUUAACCUUCUGUAUAAGCACAUUUUUUUCCCUUAAAGCCACAGUGCUCUCUCUUAAAGCCACAGUGAUCUCUCUUAAAGCCACAGUGAUCUCUCUUAAAGCCACAGUGCUCUCUCUUAAAGCCACAGUGCUCUCUCUUAAAGCGACAGUGCUCUCUCUUAAAGCCACAGUGCUCUCUCUUAAAGCCACAGUGACCUCUCUUAAAG